rnacentral:rRNA from 1 species
AACGCUAGCUACAGGCUUAACACAUGCAAGUCGAGGGGCAUCAGGGUAGCAAUACCGCUGGCGACCGGCGCACGGGUGAGUAACACGUAUCCAACCUACCGUUAACUCGGGGAUAGCCUUUCGAAAGAAAGAUUAAUACCCGAUAGUAUAUUUUCUUCGCAUGUUGAAAAUAUUAAAGAAUUUCGGUUAUCGAUGGGGAUGCGUUCCAUUAGGCAGUUGGCGGGGUAACGGCCCACCAAACCUACGAUGGAUAGGGGUUCUGAGAGGAAGGUCCCCCACAUUGGAACUGAGACACGGUCCAAACUCCUACGGGAGGCAGCAGUGAGGAAUAUUGGUCAAUGGACGAAGGUCUGAACCAGCCAAGUAGCGUGAAGGAUGACUGCCCUAUGGGUUGUAAACUUCUUUUAUAUGGGAAUAAAGUUCUCCACGUGUGGAGUUUUGUAUGUACCAUUAUGAAUAAGCAUCGGCUAACUCCGUGCCAGCAGCCGCGGUAAUACGGAGGAUGCGAGCGUUAUCCGGAUUUAUUGGGUUUAAAGGGAGCGUAGGUGGACUGGUAAGUCAGUUGUGAAAGUUUGCGGCUCAACCGUAAAAUUGCAGUUGACACUGUCAGUCUUGAGUACAGUAGAGGUGGGCGGAAUUCGUGGUGUAGCGGUGAAAUGCUUAGAUAUCACGAAGAACUCCGAUUG